rnacentral:rRNA from 1 species
CAGUCGCCGCGGGAAUACGUAGGGUGCGAGCGUUAAUCGGAAUUACUGGGCGUAAAGCGUGCGCAGGCGGUUUUGUAAGACAGAGGUGAAAUCCCCGGGCUCAACCUGGGAACUGCCUUUGUGACUGCAAGGCUAGAGUACGGCAGAGGGGGAUGGAAUUCCGCGUGUAGCAGUGAAAUGCGUAGAUAUGCGGAGGAACACCGAUGGCGAAGGCAAUCCCCUGGGCCUGUACUGACGCUCAUGCACGAAAGCGUGGGGAGCAAACAGGAUUAGAUACCCGGGUAGUCCCUGUCUCUUAUAC